CCAGAUUUUCUUUAUCUGAGAAGAGUUUGGAUUCUGAUGUUCUCCAUCCGUGACUUCCAAGCUGCACCGAAACAAAGCCUCCUGACAAGUGCGUGACAACAUGUGCAUGGACUGACCCACAGUGAAGAGACAAAGCCCAUCCCUGCCAGAUUUCACCAGCUUCUUCCCAUGAACCAUCAGACUCCCACAACAAUCCGCAAUGGUCCUACUCCAGGCCAAAUAUAUUUCGCCAAGCUCUACACCGGUCCGACACCUUUUGGAAACCAAAAGCCUGCUGCCAUGUUAAAGAAAACCUUUGUUUCUUCUGCGGAUAAUUCCAGCUGAUCAGGGACCAAAUGGACAAUACGAGGACGUCUUAUUUUUUUGCACAGAGCAGCCAACAAGCACGUCACAAAGUCAAC